rnacentral:rRNA from 1 species
CCUACGGGAGGCAGCAGUGAGGAAUAUUGGUCAAUGGACGAAAGUCUGAACCAGCCAUGCCGCGUGCAGGAAGACGGCUCUAUGAGUUGUAAACUGCUUUUGUACAAGGGUAAACCUGAAUACGUGUAUUCUGCUGAAAGUACUGUACGAAUAAGGAUCGGCUAACUCCGUGCCAGCAGCCGCGGUAAUACGGAGGAUCCAAGCGUUAUCCGGAUUUAUUGGGUUUAAAGGGUGCGUAGGCGGAUUGUUAAGUUAGAGGUGAAAUGUCCGGGCUAAACUCGGGAACUGCCUUUAAUACGGUUGAUCUGGAGAGUAGAUGCGGUAGGCGGAAUGUAUGGGGUAGCGGUGAAAGGCUUAGAGAUCAUACAGAACACCGAUUGCGAAGGCAGCUUACCAAUCUAUAUCUGACGUUGAGGCACGAAAGCGUGGGGAGCAAACAGGAUUAGAUACCCCUGUAGU